rnacentral:rRNA from 1 species
UACAGAGGGUGCGAGCGUUGUUCGGAAUUACUGGGCGUAAAGCGCGCGCAGGCGGCCCUUUAAGUCUACCCGUGAAAUGCCGGAGCUCAACUCCGCGCACGCCGGGGGAUACUGGGGGGCUGGAGACAUGUAGAGGCAAGCGGAAUUCCGGGUGUAGCGGUGGAAUGCGUAGAGAUCCGGAAGAACACCUGAGGCGAAGGCGGCUUGCUGGGCAGUGGCUGACACUGAGGCGCGACAGCGUGGGGAGCAAACAGG